rnacentral:tRNA from 75 species
GCUGUAAUAGCUCAGUGGUAGAGCACUUCCUUGGUAAGGAAGAGGUCCUGAGUUCAACUCUCAGUUACAGCUCUA